UACGUAGGGUGCGAGCGUUGUCCGGAAUUAUUGGGCGUAAAGAGCUUGUAGGCGGUUUGUCGCGUCUGCUGUGAAAAUCCGGGGCUCAACCCCGGACUUGCAGUGGGUACGGGGCAGACUAGAGUGUGGUAGGGGGAGACUGGAAUUCCUGGUGUAGCGGUGGAAUGCGCAGAUAUCAGGAGGAACACCGAUGGCGAAGGCAGGUCUCUGGGCCAUUACUGACGCUGAGAAGCGAAAAGCAUGGGGGAGC
rnacentral:rRNA from 1 species